rnacentral:lncRNA from 1 species
UCUGGAGGCUAUAAGGGGAAGGAAAAGUACAAUGGAUCUUUAAAAAACGAAACAAAACUUAUUUUACACUAUUAACCAUUUCAUCUUUCUUUUUCAGAAAACAUUGCUGCCCUGAUCCAUUGUCACAAAGAGAAAGGGGUGAAAAGUGUGGCUAUCAGCCUUGGAUAAAUUGGAAAUACUUAGAUUUGGUGCCAGCUUCUACAGAAGGUUUUAGAAAGCCACCUUUGGCACCAGAAUGGAUAAAAUACUUCAGACUUAAAUGGAAAAUGGUAUGCCGAUUCCACGGAUCUGUGGUGGUGACAGGUGGAGCUCAGAAAAAAAUUACAAAAUGAUCACCACUUUAAAGAGUUGCCAGGAUAAGUGAACAAAGUGGAAACAAAUGGAUGAAGUUCUUACCAUGCACUGAACAGUGGAACAUC